rnacentral:lncRNA from 1 species
GGUGAUCCACCUGCCUUGGCCUCCCGAAGUGCUGGGAUUACAGGUGUGAGCCACCACGCCCGGCCUGGGCCUGGUAUGUUUGGGCUCUGUGUACCCCCACAAGUCUCAUCUCAAGUUGUGAUCCUAAGCGUUGGAGGUGGGGCCUGGUAAGAGGUGGCUGGAUCAUGGGGGCAGACUUCCCCCUUGCUGUUCUUGUGAUAGUGAGUGAGUUCUCACGAGAUCUGGUUAAAAGUGUGCGGCACUUCCCCCUUGCUCUCUCUCUCUCCUGCUCCGCUAUGGUAAGAUGUGUUUGCUUCCCCUUUGCCUUCACUAUGAUUGUGCGUUUCCUGAGGCCUCCCAGCUAUGCUUCCUGUACAGCUUGCAGAACUAUGAG